GACGAACGCUGGCGGCGUGCUUGACACAUGCAAGUCGAACGGAAAGGCCUGCUUUCCCUUGUGGAUUGCGGGUACUCGAGUGGCGAACGGGUGAGUAACACGUGAGUGAUCUGCCCCCAACUUGGGUAUAAGCCUGGGAAACUGGGUCUAAUUCCCGAUAGGACUGCAGGGUGGUGCCUGUGGUGGAAAACGAUUUUCUAGUGGUUGGGGAUGAGCUCGCGGCCUAUCAGCUUGUUGGUGGGGUAAUGGCCUACCAAGGCGGCGACGGGUAGCCGGCCUGAGAGGGUGGACGGCCAGAUUGGGACUGAGAUACGGCCCAGACUCCUACGGGAGGCAGCAGUGGGGAAUAUUGCACAACGGGCGGAAGCCUGAUGCAGCGACGCCGCGUGGGGGAUGACGGGCUUCGGGUUGUAAACUCCUUUCGACCGCGAGGAAGCCACGUGGUUGGAAGGGUGGUGACGGUAGUGGUAGAAGAAGCACCGGCUAACUACGUG
rnacentral:rRNA from 1 species